CUGGCAUGCCUUGUAUGCAAUAGCGUAGAGAGCCCUUCACACUCGUUUAGGAGCUAUUCAGUUUCGAGUUCAGACAAUGAGGGAAGAUGUUCUGCAAUGGCCAACUGCCUAAUAUGGAGACCAUCUUUUCCUCCAACGCACCACCCGUCGUAUGCAGCGUCAGCCAAGGUAACUCCCCAACCAACCAUUUCCAACAGCAAUGUAAUGGAUGGUACGCCAAGGUUGGUGCGGAG
rnacentral:misc_RNA from 1 species